rnacentral:rRNA from 1 species
AUUGAACGCUGGCGGCAUGCUUUACACAUGCAAGUCGAACGGUAACAGGCCUUCGGGUGCUGCCGAGUGGCGAACGGGUGAGUAAUGCAUCGGAACGUGCCCAGAGGUGGGGGAUAACGCAGCGAAAGCUGUGCUAAUACCUCAUGUUAUCUGAGGCUGAAAGCGGGGGACCAAGCAGCAAUGUUUGGCCUCGCGCCUCUGGAUCGGCCGAUGUCAGAUUAGGUAGUUGGUGGGGUAAAGGCCUACCAAGCCGACGAUCUGUAGCUGGUCUGAGAGGACGACCAGCCACACUGGGACUGAGACACGGCCCAGACUCCUACGGGAGGCAGCAGUGGGGAAUUUUGGACAAUGGGCGCAAGCCUGAUCCAGCAAUGCCGCGUGCGGGAAGAAGGCCUUCGGGUUGUAAACCGCUUUUGUACGGAACGAAAAGGCUCUGGCUAAUACCUGGGGCUGAUGACGGUACCGUAAGAAUAAGCACCGGCUAACUACGUG